CGGCGGCCGUUUUCUUCCCCGCCACCGUGCCUCCAUCUUCAAUCUUGCCGCACCACCAAAGAGGAGAAAAGAUAGAGCUUCUGGUGGACAAGACUGAUAUCCUUCAUCACCAGGAAUAUGGCAUCUUCUGAAACACUAUCAUCACAACCACCAUCACAAGAAGCAUCUUCAGCUCAAAGUUUAGUUCAAAAUAAUGUUAGAGGAAAGACUGAUAUAGCUUGGGCACAUUGUACUAGAAGUCCUGAUGGAAAAUCUCUUGUUUGUAUGCACUGUCACAAAUCUUUUGGUGGAGGUGGAAUUUAUAGGGUAAAUCAACACUUGGCUGGAAUAGUAGGAAAUGUUGAAAUUCGUAAGAAAGUGUCUGCUGAAAUUCGUUUCCAGAUGAAACAACAUUUCAAUGAGCGGAGCAAGAAAAGAAAA